rnacentral:rRNA from 1 species
AUGCGCCUUUGGAAGAGCAGGAGGCUCAUUCCACGGGAUCCCCUGAAAGCACAAAAGCAAAUGAUGGGCCGAACGAGGCAGGCCUGCCUUCUUCGCGGAAGCGUAAAAGGUGGGAUGAUGAUUCGGGGGUCCGAAGAUGAUGAUUCAGGGGGCCCCGGGGAAUCUCCAGAUCCAGUGGAAAUCGUUUACGAAGGGGAUGCACAAGGGUACAUCUAG